UUGCUUCUUAAAAGUAAGUUUUUAUUUUAGUAGUUUCGAAAACAUAUCGUAGAUUAAGUUCGCUUGAGUUAUAGUGUGUUUGGGUAUUAGUUCGUGAUCGGUUGUAUCCUGGGAUAUAUAAAUCGUGAUCGAUCAUCAUGUGUAAUAAAAUUGUUUCAAAAUAUCUUUGAAGAUAAUAUAGCAGACGACCAAAACAAAAACAAAAAAAGGUUCAAUAACUAUAAUGUGGUCUUUGUUUUGUGGCUUCUGGAAAUGAUGUAAGGGCAUUUUUCAGAAAAUUACUAUGUGAGAAUCAAGAAGUGGAGAUGAAAUAUUUCCAGCUUGUGUAUACAGAAA
rnacentral:sRNA from 1 species